CCUACGGGUGGCUGCAGUCGAGAAUCUUCGGCAAUGAGCGCAAGCUUGACCGAGCGACGCCGCGUGCGGGAUGAAGGCCUUCGGGUUGUAAACCGCGAAAGUAGGGAGGCCUAUCUACAGUAAGGACGGGCUAAGUACGUGCCAGCAGCCGCGGUAAUACGUACCGUCCAAACGUUAUUCGGAAUUACUGGGCUUAAAGGGUUUGUAGGCGGCGCUGUUAGUCGGGUGUGAAAUCCCAGGGCUCAACCCUGGAACUGCGCCCGAUACUGCAGUGCUUGAGGGAGACAGAGGUAAGCGGAACUGAUGGUGGAGCGGUGAAAUGCGUUGAUAUCAUCAGGAACACCGGUGGCGAAAGCGGCUUACUGGUCCUUCUGACGCUGAGAAACGAAAGCCAGGGGAGCGAAGGGGAUUAGAUACCCUUGUAGUC
rnacentral:rRNA from 1 species